rnacentral:rRNA from 1 species
GACGAACGCUGGCGGCGUGCUUAACACAUGCAAGUCGAACGGAAAGGCCCUGCUUUUGUGGGGUGCUCGAGUGGCGAACGGGUGAGUAACACGUGAGUAACCUGCCCUUGACUUUGGGAUAACUUCAGGAAACUGGGGCUAAUACCGGAUAGGAGCUCCUGCUGCAUGGGGGGGGUUGGAAAGUUUCGGCGGUUGGGGAUGGACUCGCGGCUUAUCCGCUUGUUGGUGGGGUAGUGGCUUACCAAGGCUUUGACGGGUAGCCGGCCUGAGAGGGUGACCGGCCACAUUGGGACUGAGAGACGGCCCAGACUCCUACGGGAGGCAGCAGUGGGGAAUAUUGCACAAUGGGCGGAAGCCUGAUGCAGCAACGCCGCGUGCGGGAUGACGGCCUUCGGGUUGUAAACCGCUUUCGCCUGUGACGAAGCGUGAGUGACGGUAAUGGGUAAAGAAGCACCGGCUAACUACGUG